rnacentral:rRNA from 1 species
GAUGAACGCUGGCUACAGGCUUAACACAUGCAAGUCGAGGGGAAACGACGGGGAAGCUUGCUUCCCCGGGCGUCGACCGGCGCACGGGUGAGUAACGCGUAUCCAACCUGCCUCUGACUGAGGGAUAACCCGUCGAAAGUCGGCCUAAUACCUCAUGGUAUCGUCUGCGGGCAUCCAACGACGAUUAAAGAUUUCAUCGGUCAGGGAUGGGGAUGCGUCUGAUUAGCUUGUUGGCGGGGUAACGGCCCACCAAGGCUACGAUCAGUAGGGGUUCUGAGAGGAAGGUCCCCCACAUUGGAACUGAGACACGGUCCAAACUCCUACGGGAGGCAGCAGUGAGGAAUAGUGGUCAAUGGGCGAGAGCCUGAACCAGCCAAGUAGCGUGCAGGAAGACGGCCCUAUGGGUUGUAAACUGCUUUUAGGCGGGGAUAAAGUGAGGGACGGGUCCCUCAUUGCAGGUACCGCAUGAAUAAGGACCGGCUAAUUCCGUG